GCAAUUAUUGCAGGAGAGAAACACAUUUGUGUUCGCCGAAGGAGCAACAACCCCGGAAACUCUCAGGCAAAAGGACUGUAAUAAUUCA
rfam:Acinetobacter equi strain 114, complete genome.